rnacentral:rRNA from 1 species
GAACGCUGGCGGCGUGCCUAACACAUGCAAGUCGUGCGAGAAAAGGGUGGCAACACUCUGAGUAAAGCGGCGAACGGGUGAGUAACACGUAGGUAACCUGUCCCCGAGCCUGGGAUAACCUGUCGAAAGGCGGGCUAAUACUGGAUACGAUCGCAGGAGCGUCAGCUCCAGCGAUGAAAGGUGGCCUCUGCUUGCAAGCUACCACUCGGGGAUGGGCCUGCGGGCCAUUAGCUAGUUGGUGAGGUAAUGGCUCACCAAGGCGAAGAUGGCUAGCUGGUCUGAGAGGAUGGCCAGCCACACUGGGACUGAAACACGGCCCAGACUCCUACGGGAGGCAGCAGUGAGGAAUAUUGCGCAAUGGGCGAAAGCCUGACGCAGCGACGCCGCGUGGGUGAUGAAGGUCUUCGGGUCGUAAAGCCCUGUCAGGGGGGACGAAACCGCCCCGGCCAAAUACGUCGGGGACCUGACGGUACCCCAAAAGGAAGCACCGGCUAACUCCGUG